rnacentral:rRNA from 1 species
UACGUAGGGGGCGAGCGUUGUCCGGAUUCAUUGGGCGUAAAGAGCGUGUAGGCGGCCAGGUAGGUCGGUUGUGAAAACUGGAGGCUCAACCUUCAGAGGUCGACCGAAACCAUCUGGCUAGAGUCCGGGAGAGGAGAGUGGAAUUCCUGGUGUAGCGGUGAAAUGCGCAGAUAUCAGGAAGAACACCCGUGGCGAAAGCGGCUCUCUGGAACGGUACUGACGCUGAGACGCGAAAGCGUGGGGAGCGAACAGG